AUGACUAAGGCUGGUACACAGAGGAUGUUUGUCCUCCAAAGCCGAGGCUGCUGACCCCUCUGACGGCUCUCCCGGGACGGAGGGCAGUGCCGCGGGGGAGCCGAGCGGCCGCGUCUGGCCGCGGUCCCGGGGGAGCUAAGGCAACCGAUGGUGUCCACUCUGGAGUAAAAGGGCUCGACGGGGGGCCCGAGCCCUGUUCUGAAAGGAACACUAGCGAGAAACAGACCAGAGAGGUUAGUGAACUAAGGUCUCGCCGCUGGUGGAUGGCAGAGCUGGGCUUCAAACGCGGAUAGCCUGACUCCAGGGUUUGGAUGCUCCACCAUCCCACUCUGCAAAGACAGUAUUGCCCUCUAGCCAAAUGGACACUUAAAAGUGAAAACUGAGGGUCAGGAUGAAGACCAACUGCUCAGACACUCUGCAUUCUGUGCUCAUUUGGUUCCUCUGCUGGAGCAUCAUGACUGCAGGUCCUGCCCUCUGAGUGAUGUGGGCCCUCCGGAGGAGGUGCAGGUGCGACCUCUGUGCUCCUCUGUCUCUCUAGGCUCUUGGACUCCUGGGGGCUGAGUCACCUCUGCUGGGUGUAGUCCGACAGACUGCUUCUGCGUCUUGGAGCUGAUAAAGUCUGCUCUGCCCCUGUACUGCUCCCCUGGCUCUAGGCGAAAGCACAGGGUGCCCCAUGGCUAGUCAAAGCCUGGGGUCUUUAGCAGGGAACAUUAAUCCUGCCUCAGCCACCAGGAAGUCACAGAAAUGUCAGGCCACCUUCCCUGUUCCUUUAUCUCGGAUUAAGUGGGCCACCGGAAGGGGUGAGGGAAGCAGGUUUUCCUGCCUGCAUUUGUAACCCCACCUUCCUGCCCAGAAGCCCCUUGGCCACAUCUUCCUUGAGGACCUGGACGAGUGCAGGGUCGCCCAGUCUCCUCAGCUCCUGGAGCUGAGACCAGCGUACGCCUCAGGCACACAGCCUUCCCACUUACACUCCUGAGUCCCACCACCCGUGGCUGCUGUGGGCAGGGCAGGGUGAAGAGAUAACCUUUUGGCCUGUGCUGAUCCCCAACAGUGAAAGCUGGGUAGCUGUGUGAUUUGGGGGGAAUCUUGCAAUUGCACAACUAGAUCCUUGCCUGCCCACAGGAGCCCCCAAGGCACAUGGAGGAGGCAGGCUAGGUAGGACAUGACUGUGGGGCCCAUCUCAGUGAUUCCCAAACUGGAGUGCAUCAGAAUCCCCUGGGAGGACUAGUACACCACGCCGCAACCCCAGAGCUUCUGCUUCAGUGCGCCUGCGUGGGCCUGAGCAUGUGCAUCUCUUGCAAGUUCCCAGACGAAGCAGGUACCUGCGGGGAGGGCCUCUGCUUUACUGAGCAUUGCCUUCUCCACUGAGGUGUGUCACUGUCCCAGUACAGACAAAUCCUGCUGCCCACCCGGCCAGGGAGCAGCCUGGAGGCCCUUCUUUUCUGGCCGCCCCAUCGCCGAGUUGGUCAGCAUCAGCAAAACCACCUGGACGCCCGAAGCCAGACAGCCGGGAGGCCCCGGCCCUCUGACGCUGAUCUGAUGGCCUACACAAAGCGUUCACUGCAGCGUGAACUUGCUGACUAGCAGCACCCUGUGCGCUGGGGAUGAACCAAAUCUUGGUCAUGUUAGACCUGUGGAUUCCUGGCUGUGAAAGCUGAUGAGAAAACUCACCCCCAACCCCAACCCCAGCUCUCUCAGCUAACCUGCCUCCCCGCCACUGUCCUCUCCAGCCUGGCCCGAGGUCUACCAGUUGCUUCCUGUGCUCGUCUCCCAAGACGUGACUUAAAAGUAUGCCCCUCAGCUCCCCCAGCAUGCUCUCCCUGGGCCCUAAACAGCCUGUGCCCCGACCUAGUAUCUAAACCAGAGACACUGCCCAGACUGGCAGAGGGGGUGGCUCAGACCUGCGUUCAGGGAUGUCAGCACUGCAGGCAAAGUGUGGAAGCCCGGGAACAGCCGGCUUCUCAGCUGUCCUGAGUCAGCUGAGACCUGAGUCGCCUUCUCAAAGCCUCCAAUGGAGGCAUAAUGAAUCCCCUCUCCUUGGCUUGCAGGUAGAGUCACAAUUUUCCUAUUGUUUCCCCCUCACACCCCUAAUGCCAUCACCUUGAACAUCAGGUGAGGAGUGAGGCAUUUGCAUAUAGGAAGAGCUCCUUGAGCUCCUUGAGCUCCUUGGUGUUUAAACCUGACUGUUCAGCCCAUGGGUCUUCACCUGGGCCCUGAACCGUACUCUGUAUUAAAGGAUGGGUAGGUGAGCCGGUGCUGAGGUGUUCGUCUGUAAAGUGCCCCCAGACAGCAUGAGGAUAAAUCAGAAAGAUGGUACCUGCUAACUAGGGUGCCUGAGCGGAAACACUUGAGCUGCCCUUGCUCUCAGCCUCAAGCAAACAAAGAGAACAUCCCUCAUUGGAAUCCUUUUUGUUGAGUAUUUUUGCAUGGUGCCCAGCCAGGGGACAGCUGCCUAAUGUUCACAGCCAAUGGCGUAUUUCAUGGAGCUGUGCUGACUGCCAGAAAUUCGUCACUUAUUUAACAUUUAAAGAAGUUCAGAGGUGGGACACCUGGGUGGCUCAGCAGUUGGGUGCCUGUCUUCGGCCCAGGUCGUGAUCCCAGGAUCUGGGAUCGAAUCCC